rnacentral:rRNA from 1 species
UACGUAGGGUCCGAGCGUUGUCCGGAAUUAUUGGGCGUAAAGCGCACGUAGGCGGUUUGGAACGUCGAAUGUGAAAUCCCUCAGCUCAACUGAGGAAGUGCAUCCGAAACCUCCAAACUUGAGUACUAAAGAGGAUCGCGGAAUUCCCGGUGUAGAGGUGAAAUUCGUAGAUAUCGGGAGGAACACCAGUGGCGAAGGCGGCGAUCUGGGUAGAUACUGACGCUGAGGUGCGAAAGCGUGGGGAGCAAACAGG